GAGGGGAAGGAGACAGGGAUGGGAAGGUACCUUAACACUAUAUAAUGGAUAUGGCCCAACAGUUGGCACUAAUUUGGACGGAUGCCCAUUUGGUGAGGUGGCUACUGGAUGAGAUUUUACGACGAAGUUGAGGUGAUGGAUCUCACCCUAAAGACCUAUGAACUCACUUAUUUUCUUCUUAGGGGUUAGAAAGCUCCAAACUUCCUCAUCCAUUAUAAGAACACCACUAUUGAACUUUUACAACU